rnacentral:tRNA from 1 species
AGGAACUUAGGAUAUAUUAAACCGAUAGCCUUCAAAGCCAUAAAAAAGAUGCAAUCUCUUAGUUCCU